GAUGAACGCUGGCGGCGUGCCUAAUACAUGCCAGUCGAGCGAACAGACGAGGAGCUUGCUCCUCUGACGUUAGCGGCGGACGGGUGAGUAACACGUGGAUAACCUACCUAUAAGACUGGGAUAACUUCGGGAAACCGGAGCUAAUACCGGAUAAUAUAUUGAACCGCAUGGUUCAAUAGUGAAAGACGGUUUUGCUGUCACUUAUAGAUGGAUCCGCGCCGCAUUAGCUAGUUGGUAAGGUAACGGCUUACCAAGGCGACGAUGCGUAGCCGACCUGAGAGGGUGAUCGGCCACACUGGAACUGAGACACGGUCCAGACUCCUACGGGAGGCAGCAGUAGGGAAUCUUCCGCAAUGGGCGAAAGCCUGACGGAGCAACGCCGCGUGAGUGAUGAAGGUCUUCGGAUCGUAAAACUCUGUUAUUAGGGAAGAACAAAUGUGGAAGUAACUAUGCACGUCUUGACGGUACCUAAUCAGAAAGCCACGGCUAACUACGUG
rnacentral:rRNA from 1 species